ensembl:lncRNA
UUUCAGUGUAGAUAAGUGAUGGCCUGUUUAAAAUGAAAACAUGCCAGCCAGACCAGCCAGUGUAUUAUUCAAAUGUAUUUGCAUAUGAAUGGAGUGGAACUUAGCUGACUUUGUGAUCUGUAAGAAGAGGAGGAGGAGGAGGAGCUAUGGGCAGCCGUUAUCCUGUCACCUCUGGGAGAGAGAGAGGGAGAUAUUGUAACGAGAGGAAUCAUGUCAGCUCCAUUUACGGCAUUUCUAUCCACAAUGUGAUCCAAAUGUAAAACAUGUCA